UGACGGCCGUACCAUGCUGAAUAUACCGGUUCUCGUUAGAUCACCGAAGUUAAGCAUCAUUGGGCGCGGUCAAUACUUGGGUGGGUGACCACCUGGGAACACUGCGUGCCGUU
rnacentral:rRNA from 1 species